UACGGAGGGGGGCUAGCGUUGUUCGGAAUUACUGGGCGUAAAGCGCACGUAGGCGGCUUUGUAAGUUAGAGGUGAAAGCCCAGGGCUUAACCCUAGGUAAUUGCCUUUAAGACUGGCAUCGCUAGAAUCGUGGAGAGGUGAGUGGAAUUCCGAGUGUAGAGGUGAAAUUCGAUAGAUAUUCGGGAACGAACAUCCAGUGGCGAAGGACGGACUC
rnacentral:rRNA from 1 species